rnacentral:rRNA from 1 species
GACGGAGGAUGCAAGUGUUAUCCGGAAUCACUGGGCGUAAAGCGCGCGUAGGUGGAUAAUUAAGUCAGAUGUGAAAGCCCAGAGCUUAACUUUGGAACUGCAUUUGAUACUGGCAAACUAGAGUAUGGUAGAGAGAAGUGGAAUUCCACAUGUAGCGGUGAAAUGCGUAGAGAUGUGGAGGAACAUCAGUGGCGAAGGCGACUUCUUGGACCAAUACUGACGCUCAGGUGCGAAAGCGUGGGGAGCAAACAGG